CUAUGCUACCAUGCUACCCUGAAUGUGCCCAAUCUCAUCUGAUCUCGGAAGCUAAGCAGGGUUGGAUCUAGUUAGUACUUGGAUGGGAGAACACUUCGAAAUACUAGAUACUGUAAGCA
rnacentral:rRNA from 1 species